ACAGACCACAUGCAGAUAUGCAUUCACAGCAGCAUGGUUGGAGCUACAGCUGGGAUACCCAGAAGUAGAGGAUCAGACCAACAUUAGACCAACGGCUUGCAAGUAACUCAUUUUGAAAUGAAAGGGAGCAGCAGAGUAGCAGCGUGGGAUAAAUUGCAAAGAAAAUACAUACGAGGUGCCUUCUUGGAAAUCCCAGCCCCUUCAAAAGAAGAUUGCUUCUGAAAUAUCAGAGAAAAAAAAUACAACUAUUGUGAAGUCAUUCAAGACAGCAAAACUCUGACUAGCAAGUCAGAUCCAGAUCCUUUAUUUUGUAAUUUGGUUACUGUGAUUUAUUAUGUGUUCUGUUACCAGUGCUUUUCUCUAUAUACUUUUUCAGUGAAGUAAAUUCAACAAAAUAUACCAUCUCAUGGCAAUAAGAGAACUGAUACAGAAAAUAAUUUGUAGUGUAGUAUUGAUAAAUGCUUGGCACAGUAAUAGGAAUAUGUCAUCAGUCACCUGUGUUCAUGUUUGAUAGCAUUAUAUCAGCUAAUUCAGGAUGAAUGUCCUUUGCUUUAACCUUGGUUGUGUUUGCAACUUACUCUAGAGGAAAGUACUAAUCCUUCAUUAACUAGUAGGUGUGAAACCUUCUCUGUCAAGAGGGUUGAGGAGUGGGCAGAUUAAAAUCGGUUUUAGAAUGUGGCCUGGUCAAAAUCAAGUCUUUUUAUGCAGUCUUGUAAACUGCAUAAAUUAUUAGUAAACAUUUUUGAAGGGUAAAUGAAUAAAUCUUUGUAUUUUGCAGGUUUGCUCUUUUUGUCUUUGGAGCAUUCAAAAUGUACAUAUAAAAAAUUCCAAGGACACAUCAGAUCUUUGAUCUUGCUACACCUUUAAUUUUUAAGAGCCUACAUAAUGUUGUGCUUUACAUUAUGCAUUAAGAUAUUUGUAAUUAGGAACUUGUGGUAAUGACCCAUUCUCAAACAAAGUAGUUCUGUUUCUUUUUUUCCCAUUAACUGCAUUGAGAGUUUAUUUGUUGAGAAUUAGGUUUAAUUCUAUUAGCAGGAAUUGUGAGACUUUUGCAAGACAAGGUAUAUUAGCAUAGUACUUUGCUUGUAAUGAGAGCCAAAAAGCAUUUAGGGAAAGAGGUAAUUAUUGGAGAAUUUCCUUCUUUUAAUAAGAAAAAUCUAGCUAAAUUUCAGUACUCUGCUCUAAAAGUCCCUUAAGCUUUAAUUAAUGGCUAAAAGAAAAAUAAACUGGAUCACAAAAAUUCUGUAGAUGUUUUCUGAGAGUUACUGCUGAGUAAAAUCCACUAAUUUAAUAGAGUUCAUUUAAUUUGAAAAUUUGGCAACAUCAGCUGUUUUUUUUUUCCCAAAAGUUUUCUGCUUUUUAAACUGAUAGCAGUAUACUCUUAAUACAGAGGAAAGAUAUUAAUUGCUUUCAGCAAGGACCACCAUUCCCCCGCACAUACCGCCCACAUUUUUACCAGAAUUAGGUUGAUGUGUUCUGUAAUAAAAAUGUGCUGUAUACUGACCUGACCGGAAGGUCUCAUAAUGCCCAUCUUCAAAAUCCUGCGAAGGCAGUCCUAGUUUUAUAAACUUACUGUAAAGGCUUUUAUUGGUUUUAAAUAUCUAGCAGGUUUUUUUUUUUGGUUCAGUUUGUCUGGUAACUUUCUGCACAAGUGCCUGUUCCACUUGUUAUAUUGGAGUAGUGUGUCUAAUAGUAGUGGGAUAACCCAUAUAAUAUAACCAGAUAACUGUCCCCAC